GAGUUUGAUCGUGGCUCAGGACGAACGCUGGCGGCGUGCCUAAUACAUGCAAGUCGAGCGAGGCUCUUCGGAGUCUAGCGGCGGACGGGUGAGUAACACGUGGGCAACCUGCCUGUAAGACUGGGAUAACACCGGGAAACCGGUGCUAAUACCGGAUAAUCCUUUUCCUCUCAUGAGGAAAAGCUGAAAGUCGGUUUCGGCUGACACUUACAGAUGGGCCCGCGGCGCAUUAGCUAGUUGGUGAGGUAACGGCUCACCAAGGCGACGAUGCGUAGCCGACCUGAGAGGGUGAUCGGCCACACUGGGACUGAGACACGGCCCAGACUCUACGGGAGGCAGCAGUAGGAAUCUUCCACAAUGGACGAAAGUCUGAUGGAGCAACGCCGCGUGAGCGAUGAAGGCUUUCGGGCGUAAAGCUCUGUUGUUAGGGAAGAACAAGUACCGGAAGUAACUGCCGGUACCUUGACGGUACCUAACC
rnacentral:rRNA from 1 species